CCCGGCGGAAGAAGGGGGCUCUCCAAGCACACCUGGCAGCCUGCAGCCUUUAGGUUUCUUCCCUGUUCCCUCUGCUGCCGACUUUUCUUUCACUUUCACUUAGAGCAAGAUGGCAGCCCGCGUCCCUGUGUGAAGCCGUCUGCAGCAGCUGCCAGAGCCCUGCUUGCUGUUUCCUUUCUCACCACCCACCUCACCCGGAAAUCCCCUGUCUCGAAAAGGCACUCUGUCACGUGUACACAGGAAAGGGCCCUGACAAGAGGAUGGGACUGCAGUUGUGGCUGCCAGGGCCCCGGCCAGGGUGAAAACAAGGAACAUUCCAGAGAAGAUCACAAGGAUGCGAAUAAAAUCGGAGCUGCACAGGGAUCUUUGGGCUGUAAUAGGAGGGGACACACAGGGGUUAGGGGAGGGUCUAGCCCUUGGCUCCCUCAGCCCAGCCCUCCUGUCACCUUGCCUCUCCCCUUUCCCCCACCUUAUUCUAUCCCACCCGCCACCGUUGGCCAACUCCUCUCCUAAACAGUGGACUCUGCUUUUUCCCCUCCUCUUAUCCCUAAUCCUAGGAGCUUUCUGUCUGGCUUCCCUCCUGGCCCCUCGUGUAUGCAUUCUCUCUAGCGGUGGGGAUUAAGGAGAAAACUCACGUGGCCAGUGGGUAGAGAGAGUCCGGGCAGGCAGCUGCCUGAAGUCAGCCAGAGUCUGCAUGUGCCCAGCUGUCCUGGCCUCCAGCAUCUCUGGAAAAACAGAGACAGAAUGAGUAGCAGCAGGGGACCCCAUAGGGCACAUCUGAAGGCCUGAGAGGUUGGAGUGCAGUGGCACGAUCUCGGCUCAGUGCAACCUCCGCCUCCUGAGUUCAAGUGAUUCUCCUGCCUCAGCCUCCCUAGUAGCUGGGAUUACAGGACAAGGAGAGGGACAAAUUCCUUCUUGGCAUCCUUAUGGCCCUGUGACCUGCUAAUGAAUGCUGACUCUGAGUUGCUACUAGAAUUUGGUUUCCUUGUGGCUUCCCAGGAAUUGUGAGCCAUGUUGGAUAAGGACCUGCAAGGGAAGAAUGAGGAAGCCUGGGACAGUGCAGGAGGGGAGAGCACUGGUGGUAGAGAGGAGUGAUGACAAGGGUCUCCGCCAAAAGGGAAAUGGAGGGGUUAAAGAAGCUGCUGGGGAGGGUUAAAAACAAUGUGUUCUCACUCGUAGGUGGGAAUUGAACAAUGAGAACACUUGGACACAGGAAGGGGAACAUCACACACUGGGGCCUGUCGUGGGGUGUGGGGAGGGAGGAGGGAUAGCAUUAGGAGAUAUACCUAAUGUAAAUGAUGAGUUAAUGGGUGCAGCACACCAACAUGGCACAUGUAUACCUAUGUAACAAACCUGCACAUUGUGUACAUGUACCCUAGAACUUAAAGUAUAAUUAAAAAACAAAACAAAACAAAACAAAAACAAUGAGGUGCUAUUGUUUUAGUGGUGAGUAUCCGGAGACCUGGGAGUUCUAUUUACCAGGUAUAACCUGGGCUCAAAAUUCCAGGCUGACUUCAGGCAUGUCCUCAUCUCAUAGAUGCCAGCACUAAGGCCCAGAGAGGGCCGAGCUCAUUCAGCCCACCCAUCUUCUCACCCCUGACUGCAUUUCCCGGGGGUCCUUCUGCAGCCAGGUGCUGCUGUGGUACUUUGGGAUCUAUUGGCUGAGCUCCCAGAGAAGGGUCAUGGAUUGGGCUAGUUUGGAACAAGUGAAGGGACUGAAGAUGGGCUCAGUAUGGGGCGAAGACCUUCAGGAAGGGUCUGCAGAGUGAGUAGGGGGGUUUUGACUAGGAAAAGUUCCAACCCUGCCGGGGCCGCUGUCAAGAGAAAAGCAUCUAUUACAGUUACAUUUUUAAGUUAAGUAGACUGAAGAAUAUUUCUUGUGUAUUAAAGACGUUCCUUUUUGGUUGAUUUGCAAUGGAAAAGCUUUUGUUUUCUUUUUUUUUUUGGAAACAGGGUCUCACUCUGCUCACUCUGUCUCCCAAGCUGGAGUGCAGUGGUACAGUCACGGCUCACUGCAGCCUCCACUUCCUGGACUCAAGUGAUCUUCUCACUUCAGCCUUCUGAGUAGCUGGGACUACAGCCCCCUCUGCAGCUCUUCAUGGGGGUCCACUCAAGUCAGAAGCCACAUUUGGGUGUGAUUCAGAGAGCUGUUUAUGCAAAACCAGCUUUGUCACCAUCAGGCAAGGCACCUGAAUUCCCACCGCAGAGAGUGUUGUGGCCGUGAGGACUUUUCUGUCACCAGCCAUUUCCAGGUAGACCCAGUGUAAUCACAAGCAUCCUUGUAAGUGGCAAAGAGGCAGAGGAGACAGCGCCAGAGAGGCAGCUGCAUGAGAAGGAUCAAGAUGUUGCUGACUUUGAAGUUGGAAGAAGAAGGCCAUGAGCCUCAGUAUGUGGGCGGCUUCUAGAAGCUGGAAGGGGCAAGGAGAUGGAUUUGACCCUUCAGCCUCCAGGGGCAGCUGUACCUGCCAUCACUGAUUGUAGCCUGGUGAGGCCUGUUUUAGACUUCUGACCUGUAGAGCUGUAACAUAAUACAUUUGGGUUGUUUUCAACCACUAAGUUUGUGGUAAUUUGUUGUAGCAGCUGUAGAAAAUGAAUACAUAUGAAUCCUCUGGCAUUUGUUUGAGAUUUGCUCUAUGGCCUAGUAUGUGGUUGUAAAUGUUCCAUCUGUGCCUGAAAAAAUGUAUAUUUCUAAUUCAGUAGUCUCUGCUUUUUUUUUUUAUUUUGUACCCCAUCAAUAAAAUGAUUUUCAGCAUGUAUCCCCAAAUAAACAAUAUUUUAUUUAUUGAUUGAUUGAUAAACAGACAUGUUUAAUGAUAGCUUGCUUUUCACAGAGGUGACUUCGGAGACUUCUAAUCUAUAAUCCAGGAGUAUAUAACCAUG
rnacentral:lncRNA from 1 species